AAGUCAGGAGAGCUCAAGAAGCUGUCGUCAACGGACGACCUUUCUCUGAAACCCUAGUUGAAGUUCUUUACAACAUCAACGAACAGCUUCAGACCGAUGAUGUCGAUGUGCCCUUGACCAAAGUCAGACCGGUUAAGAAAGUGGCCCUCGUUGUCGUAACCGGAGAUCGUGGAUUGUGUGGUGGAUUCAACAAUUUCAUCAUUAAGAAAGCAGAGGCGAGAAUCAAAGAGCUUCAAGGUCUUGGUCUUGAUUACAUUGUCAUUAGCGUGGGCAAGAAGGGAAAUUCUUAUUUCCUCCGUCGUCCUUACAUCCCCGUCGACAAGUUCCUCGAAGCCGGAACUUUACCGACGGCCAAAGAAGCUCAAGCUGUGGCUGAUGAUGUCUUCUCUCUGUUUAUCAGUGAAGAAGUCGAUAAAGUCGAGCUCUUGUACACAAAGUUCGUGUCUUUGGUCAAAUCAGAACCCGUGAUCCACACGCUAUUGCCUCUAUCACCAAAAGGAGAGAUCUGUGACAUCAAUGGGAACUGUGUUGAUGCUGCGGAAGAUGAAUUGUUCAGGUUAACGACGAAAGAAGGGAAAUUGACUGUUGAAAGAGAGACCUUUAGGACACCAACAGCUGAUUUCUCUCCAAUCUUGCAAUUCGAGCAAGACCCUGUUCAGAUUCUUGAUGCUUUGUUGCCUCUGUAUCUCAACAGUCAGAUUCUUAGGGCGUUGCAGGAGUCAUUGGCUAGUGAGCUUGCAGCUAGAAUGAGUGCAAUGAGCAGUGCUUCGGAU
rnacentral:lncRNA from 1 species